AGCUCCUUCAAAGAGGGCUCACGGGGACAGAACCCAGGGGCUCUUAACGCUGUGACCAAAGAUCAAGUUCUCUAUAGACUAUGGUUUCCUGAUGGAGACACAAGC
rnacentral:snoRNA from 1 species